rnacentral:lncRNA from 1 species
UUGGAAGUAGACACACCAGGACCUGGAUCCAGGAGGAAGAGGCCUGUGUGUGUCAGGGUGGGAGGAGAUGGUAUUUGACGCUAGUGAAAAUGCAGAUUCCCAGGCCCCACCAGCUGCAGUGCUGGCUCUAGGGUGGGGCCAGGGAGUGUUUCUUAAGCACCCUGGGUGAAGCCAACACAGGUGGUAGAGAUCCAGGCUCUUCCCUGGGGCCCGAGUUUGCCACGGGCUUGCACAAGGCUGGGGCAGGUGUGGAUUGUAUUAACCAGUCCCUUAUUAAUCUUUCAGGCUCAGGCCCAUCUGUAUCUCUCUGGAUUCCCCACAACCCGAGGAGGAUGUUCCCGGAUCUCGGAGAGAACCUUGAAACUUUGCUGUGGUCAAGUUCAUCAGUCAUUCUAUAGUUUUUGAAAAACUUCUUUGUAAAAGUCUGUAAUAAUGCGAAGUCCAUGACUUUGAUUCAAAUAGCUUGAGGAUUUGCUAAAGUUUACUUUUGUGUGUGAUAACAGUGUUCCAAUGUACUGACUCUCUGGAUGCACAGGCAGUUGUCUUAAGACUAUGGAAGAGUCUUUCUGUGCUCAUGUGAAAUACCCCCUUUAACAUCUAGUAAACCUAUGUCUCUACCCGGGUUUACGUUUUUUCAUGGGUUUGUGUAUUCCUGCCCUGGUUUUGUAGAGCUUUGUAAUGUUUUUGGUAUCUAGUGGUCAAAGUUUCCUUUUUUCCUUCCCAAAAUUGCCCUAGCUCUUCUGUAUUUCAGAAUAAGUUUGUCACAUUCUACAAAGAAUUGGCCUGGGACUAGGGUUGUGAUGCAUUAAAUUCAUAAAAUUUGGGAAGAACUGACCUACAUCGUUGAGUCUUUCUCAUUCAUGAGGAUAUUAUAAGUCUCCUGUCAUUCAGGAAAGAUUUACAGCUUUUUCUAUAGAGAUCAUUUAAAAUAAGACUUAGCUUUGUGGCUAUUGUUUUUAAAAAGCUUCCUAUUGGCCGGGCGCGGUGGCUCAAGCCUGUAAUCCCAGCACUUUGGGAGGCCAAGACGGGUGGAUCACGAGGUCAGGAGAUCGAGACCAUCCUGGCUAACACAGUGAAACCCUGUCUCUACUAAAAAAAUACAAAAAACUAGCCGGGCAAGGUGGCGGCUGCCUGUAGUCCCAGCUACUCGGGAG